UACGAAGGGGGCUAGCGUUGCUCGGAAUCACUGGGCGUAAAGGGUGCGUAGGCGGGUCUUUAAGUCUGGGGUGAAAUCCUGGAGCUCAACUCCAGAACUGCCUUUGAUACUGAAGAUCUUGAGUUCGGGAGAGGUGAGUGGAACUGCGAGUGUAGAGGUGAAAUUCGCAGAUAUUCGCAAGAACACCAGUGGCGAAGGCGGCUCACUGGCCCGAUACUGACGCUGAGGCACGAAAGCGUGGGGAGCAAACAGG
rnacentral:rRNA from 1 species